GUGUGUAUUUAGUCUCUGUGUUUCCUCCCUUCUGUUUCAGUUUGUUGAGUCUUACCUGUGUCUCGUCCCCUGUGAAUCUAUGUGGUUCUUCAUUGUGGAUUUUUGGAUUUACCCCUCCUGUGUUGUUGUUGAUGGACUUCUGUUUGGAAGGAUAUCUUGGACAUUUGAGUUUUGGGACACUUGAAAGACACAACAGCAGAGGAGGCUAAAUUGGUCGACCGGGGUGUAUGAUGAACCAUUUUCCAGCCCAAUUGGACUUCAGCGGCCAUCAGAAAAAGCUCUUACUCCACAUCAGAUUGGAUUUGACCUCCUCCAGCACUGGAGAAAACAUCCACAGAUCUUCCCAAAUUUUGCUCUGGUUUGCUCCUCAGUCGUCCCUCUCCUCCACCUGUGUUUCAAAGAUUGUCUUCAUCCGUCACUGAGAGCAUGAUGUGGGGGAUCGCCAUCAUCAGAAGACUUCUCCUGGCACCUGGAUCUCUGCUGAUGACGCACAUCAGCCUGACCUGCCUGUCUAUCCUUGAUCAGCUCAUCAGCUUGGCAGAAUAUGAACCUUGACUGCUCACCCAUCCAGUGCCAGAUCAUUGUCUCUGCCACGGUGGGAACACAUGGAUAACAUCUCUCCUGCAUCUGUUCCCUGAAACCUUCCAUCUGCCUCGGCAAUAACAGAGAUCAUCAAGAAGAGGAGGGAGACAGCAACACAAAGACCUGUAUCGUAAUCCUACAAGCCGGUGAUGUUUAUGUCCCUGCAUGAGUGUGGCCUCACUCAGACUCAGGACUGUAUAAGGAAGCUCAGUCUGCAGUGUCAGUGCAGGGAAGGAAAUGUUAAGAGUCUGCAUAGCAUCAUCACCCAAAUGACAAAAAGAGCUGGAGGUUGUGUGUUCCUACAUGCCUGCAGUACCAAACACACAGAAGCCAUCAUUAUUUCCUGCAAUUACCUUCAGCACCUGCCUACCUCUGUCUACAGCUUGUCUGCGUGCUCACCUGUCAGCAUGUAAAUCUCAAAGAGCUCCUUUUCCUACUGUUGCAUGUCUUUGUUCUGCUGAAGGGAUCAGGGACAGCUGAAGGAAAGCCAGGAAAAUUCAAGGACAUCAUGCAAAGAAGACAAAUGCAAAGUGGGUAAUUUUUGCUCUCAUUUAAAGAAAGUCAAGCUGAAGACAUGCAACACUAUGAUUAAAAUUGUCUUGAUGA